AGCCGUGUACAAAGGGCAUUCACUUUUAUGUUUUGAGCAGCUGGACAUGGCAUAGCUGAGGAAAUGCUGGUGCGUUAUGUUAAUGGGGAACUUUGGGCUGGAACGACAUGGAAAUUUGUUUGCCCACUAUGCAGAGUCCAAAGCCUUCCUGGGAGGUGAUCAGCAGCCUGCAUGCAUUUAGGUUGCAAAAAAGGAAGUUUGAAGAUAGAAGGUAGUUUGUACAUGUUACUUUGUAGCAGCUCCUCAGGAAAAGUACCAGUCACCUUAAAGCAGGGGUAGAUGAAACCAAUCUUUUCACCCUUGAGUUUGCACCGGAGAAGCAAGUGGUUUAGUCUCCACACAAAGUGCAUGUCAAGACUGCCAGUUAGUGGUGCUUGGAGAACUCUGGGGAUCUUUUUGGCUCAGUUCAGCUUCCUCGUAUACUGUGCAUGGAGGAUGAAUAAACUGCUGAGGCCUUCUAACAGUUCUUUAGUGCAAAGUUCAUAUAGGAUCAUCUUGUAGAGCCACUUAUAUUUGUUUUUACAUUUAUGCGGGACAAGCAUACAUUUUAGAGAAUGUGGUGGCAAUAUGCAUCUCAGAAUCUUUUGUCGAGCACAAAAUUGAAAAACAUAGUUGUCCAUUUUUUGUUUUAUGUAAUUGUUUUAUAUAUUUUUUUUUCAAAUUGCCAUGUUUUAGCAUUUACAAAAGUCAACAAUGAC